UGCCUUUGAUGAAUUGCCAUGCUAAUACUGAAUUCCCAGUUGCCGACAGCACUUCUGUGGAAUUUUGUGAAUGGACUUUCCUUUUUCUGAGGCAC